GACGAACGCUGGCGGCGUGCCUAAUACAUGCAAGUAGAACGCUGAAGGAGGAGCUUGCUUCUCUGGAUGAGUUGCGAGCGGGUGAGUAACGCGUAGGUAACCUGCCUGGUAGCGGGGGAUAACUAUUGGAAACGAUAGCUAAUACCGCAUAACAGUAGAUAUCGCAUGAUAUCUACUUGAAAGGUGCAAUUGCAUCACUACCAGAUGGACCUGCGUUGUAUUAGCUAGUUGGUGAGGUAACGGCUCACCAAGGCGACGAUACAUAGCCGACCUGAGAGGGUGAUCGGCCACACUGGGACUGAGACACGGCCCAGACUCCUACGGGAGGCAGCAGUAGGGAAUCUUCGGCAAUGGACGGAAGUCUGACCGAGCAACGCCGCGUGAGUGAAGAAGGUUUUCGGAUCGUAAAGCUCUGUUGUAAGAGAAGAACGAGUGUGAGAGUGGAAAGUUCACACUGUGACGGUAUCUUACCAGAAAGGGACGGCUAACUACGUG
rnacentral:rRNA from 1 species